rnacentral:rRNA from 1 species
AUUGAACGCUGGCGGCAGGCUUAACACAUGCAAGUCGAACGAGUGGCGGACGGGUGAGUAAUGUUUGGGCAUCUGGCUUAUGGAGGGGGAUAACUACGGGAAACUGUAGCUAAUACCGCGUACCAUAGGAUGAGCCCAAGUGGGAUUAGGUAGUUGGUGAGGUAAAGGCUCACCAAGCCGACGAUCUCUAGCUGGUCUGAGAGGAUGACCAGCAACACUGGGAUUGAGGUACGGCCCAGAAGCCUAAGGGAGGCAGCAGUGUGGAAUAUUGCGCAAGGGGGGCAAUCGGUCGCAGCCAUGACGCGUGAAUGAAGAAGGCCUUCGGGGUGUAAAGUUCUUUCGGGAGCGAGGCGUGAAAUACAGAAGAAGCACCGGCUAAGUCCGUGCCAGCAGCCGCGGUAAUAC